rnacentral:SRP_RNA from 1 species
UAGGACAAUGGCGGGCUAGUGAAUUGUGUCAGAUCCGGAAGGAAGCAGCACUAAGCAAGUGCCGCCAUGUGUCUGAAUU